GACAGAGGGUGCAAGCGUUGUUCGGAAUCAUUGGGCGUAAAGCGCACGUAGGCGGUCGUGUAAGUCGGACGUGAAAGCCCAGGGCUUAACCCUGGAAGUGCAUCCGAUACUGCACGACUUGAGUCCCGGAGAGGGUGGUGGAAUUCCUGGUGUAGAGGUGAAAUUCGUAGAUAUCAGGAGGAACACCGGUGGCGAAGGCGACCACCUGGACGGAGACUGACGCUGAGGUGCGAAAGCGUGGGGAGCAAAC
rnacentral:rRNA from 1 species